ensembl:lncRNA
UUAAAUCAAGAGCUUGAGACCAUUCUCUGAAGUCCAUGGUUUCAUAGUCCUUAAAAGUCCACAAUCAAGCCAGGUCACUUUCAGCUGCAGAUGAUUCUGUUUGUACUACGUGACAAAGGAAUGAACCACAGCCUGGUACUCAUCACUCUCACUGACGCAUCCAACCACCGAGGAGUCAUCAGAAAGUCACAAUCACAGUGCUCGCCGGCUGGCUCAGAUGGGCAUAGACACGACUGAGCAUGUAGAUGAUUGCAAGGCGAAAUUAACACACAUGACAGAUGGAAUGACGCACAAAGGGUAACCUGUAAACAAGAAGAGGAGACAAAACACAAACUGAGUAAGAGAGACACGAAGAGAGACAAAGCCAUCACUGAGACACAUAAAGGAUGAGGGAGACUUAAACACAGGGGAUAUGACAGACUCAAACACUGAAGACACGACACUAUAAUCACCAUAGUGGGGAAGGCACAGACAUGGAAGGAACCUAAACAGAUAAGAACUAAGUAAGAAAACCUGGGGAACAUAAUACAAAAAGGCAUAAAACUUAAAAUGCUGGAUCAAAAGACUCAGAACCAGGACAGAACCAUAUAUAAUGCAAAUGCUCUUUCAAACAUAUAAAACACAUUGUACUCCUUUUAGAAGGAAUAUCAGAAUUUUUCUAAAGACUUGAACCAUUAUUAUUUUAUAUUUUAACAUGGAUUUCAGUGCUUUAUUAUAUCAGCACAUUUUUAACCUGGUUACAAAGAAUUAUUAUUAAAUCGAUUAAAGAAAAUCAGGAAAAUGUAAACUAACAAACAAAACAAAAAACAUUUAUUGAAUAAAUCAAUAGGCUAACACAUAAUAAAUCCUGUUUAUUUACAAAUAACCUAUAUUCAUAUGUAUCAUGUUGAUAACAACGAUGUUUAUAUUUAUAAAUUUAAAAAAGUCACAUUUAUUAAUCAUGUAAAUAAAACGCAUUUAUCAUAAACAUCCACAUGAUAUCCGAAAGAAAUUAUCCAGUUCAAAUGACGUUCACAUUUUGAACAUCGACGUCCAGGUUGGGUCAUGGUUGGACGUUAAAAUUGUGGACCAAGUUCAAAUGUCUACAGAUGUCCAGAGAAUUGGUCAUGGACCGACAGACCCAAUAUAAACAUGAUCUGCACAUCUAUCUGACGUCCAAUAUUUAGUAGAGAGAGUCUGACUGUCAUGAUCUGGAUGUCUGAGCUUCCGUGGUAUCCGGCCAUGGGCAGGGCCUACAGCCUCCCUCACCUGGAGCUGAUUGAGUCAAUUAGGCUGGAGAUUUAAGCUCCUUCCUGACGCCGUUUCCUCGCUAGUUCACCAACAACCCUAUGUUGGUAACCAGGCCUCACGCGGCAUACCAGUAAUUUUCAAGUACUUUACUUACCUUGUGUUCUAGUUGCUCCUGGUUAUUCCACAGUGCUGAACAACUCAUCCUGGAAAUGUGGUUCACCUGCCUGCUUUUUGGAAUUGUGUCCUUGCCUCACCUGCCUGCCCUCAAACUACCAUGAAACCUUUAACACUGAGGACAGCCGAUACACACCACUAAUCCCACCUGGACCACAACACCUCUCCUUCAACGCUUCAUCUCCCACCUGCACACAGGUACCUAAUCACCAGUCCAGCUCCCGUUGCUUUCUUGGACCCGUCACUCUGCUUUUACUCCUCUCUCCGAGCCAAGACCUCACGCCCUGUUUAUCAAGCCUUUAGUCGAGUGCCAUUGUAAACAUUAUCCUUGUGCUGGUUAAUAGAACACUGUUGAAACAUUUCCUCAGCCUCCGCUUUGGUUCUGCACGUGGGUUCAGUUUUGGUACUUGGCCUCCGGCCGUUUUGUGACACUGACAGGGAGGUGGAGAGAGGGAGCAAUCGCAUACAAGAAUAUCAGCAGAGCAGGGAAUCGACAUGGAUAUGGACUAAGGCUAUGUGCACCCUGCAGGCAAAAGCGCAUCAAAUCUGACUUUUUGACCCUAUGCUCCCCAUAUCCCAUCAUGGUAUGACAGUUUGAACAGCAUAAAUUAGAUAUUUUCAAAUCCGACCUGGGUCACUUUCAUAUGUGGUACUGAAUCCGAUACAUAUCUGAUGUUUUAGAAAGCGACUGCUGUUUGAAUGGUCAUGUCACAUUAAAUCCGUCUUUUACGUCACUGACACAAGACAGAAGCCAGUUAUCAGUGCUGAAGACGACAAACCAACCCCACCACUCCUGGUUCCGACUAUUUUUGGUGUCUUGAUGUAAAAAGAACUAUUUCUGAAAAACACAAUCGGAAUUGUCUGUACAAAAAAAAAAUACAUGUGUUCAUGAGGUAGCCUUAAUUAAAGCCAGUUGUUUAUCUGAAGUUCACAGUUUGAAGGUGUUUAAAGCAGCAAACAGUUGCAAUCACUUUUCGCUGACUUGCACACUGCUAGAAGUCCUGUUGUUGUUUUUGUUGUUGUUUUUUUUUACAUUUUCUUUACAUUGGCUUGACAUAUUUGGGAAGUGCUUUGUAUACAGAAAAGGAAUAUUUUCGGGAAUGACAAUGUUAAGCAGUUACUCAUAUUGUUUGUGACCCACAUACUUAGGUUGUUUAUUCUCUAUGUUUAUAUCAUAACUUGUACUGCUUUUAUGUGGGCACCUGUUGAUACCCAGCUGUUGUUUUGAGAUAUAAUAAUUUGGAUUUUGGAUAAUUUGGACUAAUGUGUAACUUUAACAGUGUUCCAUUUUGAAUGGUUUGUGAUAUGUUGGUUGGUAGAAACUGAAACUGGAUUUGAAGAUGCACUUGGUAAUUAUUUUAUAUAUAUGUGAGUCACUUUGAUGGUCCAAACUGUCCAAAGUUGCUCUGAGGUCUUGCCUCCAUGCACUUAUGCAAUUAAUCGCUAGACGGGUGUAUUUAUAAAUAAUAUUAUAUUAGGGAAAUUUUCCCAGACAUAUUUUUGACCUGGGGGUAGAAUUGAUUGUGAAAUGGAAAAGGAAAAAUGCUUAUGAACUUGCAAAUUAAAAACAUGAUGCAUUUAAGGUAACCCUUUUCCAUUUUUAUUUAAAAAGAGAAUUUGUUCUAGUGUCG